rnacentral:sRNA from 1 species
ACGGAUGAUGGUGAUUACAAUAUUAAGUUGCGUAAUCUAAUUCGAUUUCUAGGGGAAGGUGAUAAAACCAAAAUUACGUUACGUUUUCGUGGGCGUGAGAUCGCACAUCAGAAUAUUGGUAUGCAAAUGAUAGAGCGGGUUAUGGCUGAUCUUGGAGAGUAUGGUACUGUUGAACAGUAUCCUAAAAUGGAAGGUCGUCAGAUGGUAAUGGUACUGGCGCCGAAAAAAAAAUAAUUUAUGAGGUAAACCUCCGGUCAUGCCGAGGUGAUUUUUUUGAUGCUGCUCGGGUUAAGGGACUGGUCAGAGCAGAUUAGUAGUAAACAGU